rnacentral:lncRNA from 1 species
GAGAGAGAGAGAGCGGGACAGACAGACAGAGACAGACACACAGACAGACAGAGACAGAAGGGGAAAGAAAAUUUCGGUGCAACAGAUCAAGAAAGAGGGGAGGAAAGGAUUACGAAACUCUGAAUCAAAUCCCUACUCCGUGGGGUGCCGGAAGGGGAGACAGGUAUUUAUAAUGGAAGGGGGAUAGGGGCGUUAGGGAAAUUCGAGAUAAACCGAAGGGUGGACGGCCG